rnacentral:lncRNA from 1 species
ACGACCAACCAACGACCUCGCUUCGGCCAUCUUGGCAUCUUCAUCUUGGCGACCUUGGCUUGCCGUGGAUUGUUUUUAGUUGUUUGUAUUAUUUGUGCUUUUUAAGAAUAUUUUUUUAAUUCGGAUACUUUUAUAAUAGCUUUAAUAGUAUUAUUAACAUAGUGCAUAAAAUGGUGUCCUGUUUUUAACGCAGUUGGAGUAGCAGAAACAAAUGUAGAUAAAAAAAUCUGCAGGAAUAACGUUUCAAUUAUGACAGAAGCUCAAAACAAAUGACUGUGAAUGAAAAGCCCUAUUAAAAGCUUUCCAGAAGAUCCUGCGAAGAAGACAUGAAGUAUAGAUCAGAUUUGUUAAUAGAGGAGUAUGUUCAAAACACUUUUUAGAAAAAGAUAUUGACAGAACUUCACUUUCAUCUGUUCGUUUGAGAGACUGUGCUGUUCCAAUAGCUUAUGUCACACAGAAUCAGCUGAGAGAAGUGGUCUACAAAAAACCAGAAAGUAAACGGAAUAUGUGGCUACGAAAAGCAAAAGAAAGGUUUACAAAGCAAAUGUGACACAUUUUUUUAUAAUAUUUAGGAAUGUCAGCAAAUUACAUUAAAAAAUGUAUGUAAAGAUUUUUUGCAAUAAAAAUGUUUAUAUUUA